AGCGAACGAGCGCGACUAGUUAUUCACCCCCCUGCUUCGACGUGACCCAACAACCAUCGCUAGCAGCCUCCCACCCCUUCUCCAACUCUGUCUCCACCUCACCGUCACCAGAAGCCCCCUGACUUCCUCAACGAGCUCUUCCUCAUCCUGUAAGAGGCGAAGAUGAACUAGGCGCCGUUGUAGGACUAGGAGCAGCAGAGGGACGUAAUGGUUAUGGCGGACUUAGACAGGAGGUUCUAGGUCUUCGAUGAUUUGGUGUAGAGGGCUUCCAAGGUGGUGUCUCUAGAGGAUGUCGAUGAAAGGGGAGCUGAGGAGGUGGGAUUCAAGGUUUGGUUUGAUGUGGCAGUGCCCAGAUUUAGCAGGAGUUUAAGCUUGAUUGGUAAGCAGAAGGAUGGCAAGUUGGGGUGAUUUCGAUUACUCCAAUGGGUUGUCUUGUCCCUUCAAAUAUGAGCUACCUUCCGGUCAGAUCCCUUUGCCCCCAAUUUCACUGCUCUUUUCUUACAUUUUUUUUUUACUUAUUUUCCUUCUUGAUUGACAAGGAGAAGGAUGUCAAGUAGGAUGAUUAGCCCGAAUAACACAUGGUCAUGAUAAAUCUAGGGAUGCUUCGAGAACACAUGAUUCAAUACAUGUAGACCAUUUGAUUGGAGAUGAUCCUUCAAAUGUUAAAGCAUUUGAUUUUGAGUCCCAUCUUCCCGUUGAAGAACUUUUCAAGAGAAUUUCUUUUUGUCGGGAAAAUUUUGUUGGGAGUUUGCAAGGAUGCACAGAGAUGUAUGAUACAAUUCUUUGGUAUGUUUCUUUAACAAACUACAUCUAGUGUGAGACAUCUUUAUCUUUCAGGUUUGACUUAUGGCUUGUCUUUCUUCUAUUUGAUGAUAUUAGCUUAAUGAAUAAGGAUAUCACUCUACAUUGCAUCUUUAUACCAAUGUCAUGCACAUAGUGCUAUUUAGUUUUGUUAUUUGCAUAGCUUGCUAACAUGGAGUAUAUUAUGAUAAGAUCAUAAAGUGUGAACGGUUGUUGCUUUGAAGUUCGGCUGGUAGAGAUGGCAGCUGAUUAUAAUAUGGGUUCCUACCAAGCAAACCUGCCUUCAUCUUUCCAUCAUCCUCUCAUGGUUUCUUUUCAAUCAGGUGCAAUAAAUAGCUUGAGUGGCAUGGUUCCUGAUGACAUCUGCAGUUUGGGUGGAAACAACAGUAUCAUUAGCCAGUUCAAUUCUCUUGGUCCAGGCCUAAUCAAUUAUAUGAAUGCAACGACUUCCAUUCAGUACUCUACAAGAUUUGUUCUUCAUGAACUAGUGCCAGGGUUUGAACAUGUGUCAUGCUCGCCUGUAUAUUGCUCACAAGAAGAAAUUAAAAUUUUGCACAUAGGUCUUAUCAAGUAUGUACUAAUGUUAGUACUAUGUUGGUUCCUCUAAUGAAAAAAUUUCUUCAACCUUUUCAGUCUUUAUUGUGGGAGAGUGCAUGCUGAAAUGUCAUAAGCCAUUUCUCAAAAUUUGCUCAGUUGUUGUUUACCAUAGAUUUAUCUUGUACAUUAUGGAUAUCAUAGUGAUAUUGAUUGCUUUUGUUGUUCAUUUAUAUGUUUCAAUAUUAAUUUAUGUUUGUGAAAGACAGAUAUUCUCAUCUCAUGGGGGAAUACAAAAGCACACAAAGAUAUCUGCUUUAUUGCCUAAGAAGACUAUAAGAGAUGUUGCAUUGAGGUGCCAAUGGAUCACAGGAUGACCUCUCUCCUCAAUUGGCAGCUAUUAUGGGUAUUCUGAUCCAGCAUCUCCUUUCGGUUUUGAGUCACAUACAACUAGUUCUCAGUUGGAAUUUCAUCACCCUGUGGUAGCUGUUGGACCAUGCCCACUUAUGUGCCAGACGAAAGCAUGCCGUUUCCAAGGGGGUUGUUAAUAAUUUCCAAGGGUUCUGUGGCCAUAUGCUGCUUCUCCUGCACCAAACUAGUCAUCAGUUUCAGUUUGUCAACCGUUGAAGUUGUUGUGGUCUAUUUUAUCAGUGACUACGUUGGACAAUCUUGCUGAUGGUGCCCCAAUUCAUUAUAGAUUACACAUAGCUUGAGGACAACCUCGAAGCUAAUUUGCAGGUCGAGCUCUCUGCUGUUAGCGGCAGAAACUAAACCCACAGGCACUCAUCUAAAGCGUGAUCAUCACCAGCCGCCGGAGAUGGCCGAUCGCUUCUUCCCCAACAGUCUGCCGGAGUUUGUGGUAGAGGAAGAAGGCGCAAUCACCGGAUCUACUCUUCUCGACCUUCUCCACCUCCCAUACCCCAAAUUGGCCGACAAGUUGCUUAAUUCCGCCCUCCAUCUCAAGAAAAAGGUGGUGGAGGAGACAUGGCUGCGAAGUGGGCGCGGCGCACGGGACUAUACUCUCUACACCGGUGCACUAGGGACAGCUUUUCUGUUGUUCAAGGCUUACCAUGUGACCAAAAAUCGGGCCGACCUCGAUCUCUGCGCAGAGAUCGUCAUCGCGUGCCAUCAAGCAUCUCAGGGUUCACCGUUAGUGACGUUCAUAUGUGGAAAGGCCGGCGUCUGUGCUCUUGGCGCUGUGGUGGCGAAGGAAGCUGGAGACGAGGGCUUGCUCAAUCUCUAUUUGCAGUUGUGAAAAAUGCUACAAAACCUAAUGCUUGUUUAGUAUAAGGCAGAAGAUUAAAUUUCCUCACAAUGUCCCCAAUGAGCUUUUAUAUGGAAGAGCGGGUUACUUGUGGUCGUGUUCUUUCUUAAAUAAACACAUCGGCGAGGGAACAAUUCCCUCAUCUCAUAUGGUA